GAUGAACGCUGGCGGCGUGCCUAAUACAUGCAAGUCGAGCGAACGGACGAGAAGCUUGCUUUUCUGAUGUUAGCGGCGGACGGGUGAGUAACACGUGGAUAACCUACCUAUAAGACUGGGAUAACUUCGGGAAACCGGAGCUAAUACCGGAUAAUAUUUUGAACCGCAUGGUUCAAAAGUGAAAGACGGUCUUGCUGUCACUUAUAGAUGGAUCCGCGCUGCAUUAGCUAGUUGGUAAGGUAACGGCUUACCAAGGCAACGAGGCAUAGCCGACCUGAGAGGGUGGUCGGCCACACUGGAACUUAGACACGGUCCAGACUCCUACGGGACGCAGCAGUAGGGUAUCUUCCGCAAUGGGCGAAAGCCUGACGGAGCGACGCCGCGUGAGUGAUGGAGGUCUUCGGAUCGUAAAACUCUGUUAUGAGGGGAGAACAUAUGUGUAAGUAACUGUGCACAUCUUGACGGUACCUAAUCAGAAAGCCACGGCUAACUACGUG
rnacentral:rRNA from 1 species